rnacentral:rRNA from 1 species
AUUUUAUAUAAAGUAUAACCUGCCUAUUGAAUUUUUUAAAAGGCCGCAGUAUAUUGACUGUGCAAAGGUAGCAUAAUCAUUAGAUUUUUUAUUGGAAUCUGGAAUGAAUGGUUGAAUGAAAUAAAAUCUUUUUUAUUUUUAAAAUUUGAAUUUUAUGUGUUAGUAAAAAAUCUAAUUAAAAAAAAAAAGACGAGAAGACCCUAUAGAAUUUCAUAAAUUUAUAUUAUUAUAAUUAUUAUUUAAUUUAUUUAUUAAUAUUUAUUUAUUUGACUGGGGAGGUAUUAAAAUUUAAUUAACUUUUAAAAUUAUAUUCAUUAAUAAAUGUAAUGUUUUUGACCUUUUUUUUAAAGAUUAAAAAUUUAAAUUACCUUAGGGAUAACAGCAUAAUGUUUUUAUUAAGUUCUUAUUAGUAAUAAAGUUUAUGACCUCGAUGUUGAAUUAAAAUAAUUGUUAUAUGAAGAUAUAUAAUAAAUAAGUCUGUUCGACUUUUAAAUUUUUACAUGAUUUGAGUUCAAAUCGGGGUAAG